CUGGACGUCCACCCCGCCGCCCGGCUUCAACCCGGCGCUGGGGCGCGCCACUGCCGACAACCUCUAACCUGGAACAGCCAAACGGAAUCACACAAGCCGCCUGAAUCUGUCGUCUUCGAUCUGCCUCUGCGCGCCAGCCGGCUGCCAGUCGGCCGACGCCAGCGUCUGGAGCCGGUCUCGUUUCUGUGGCAGCGUGAAGUCAAAAUUCGUCCGGUGCAUUUAGGUUGGGGUCGGCCGUAUAUCUCUACGUUACUGUGCUAAUGUGGUGUCCGCCAGGAGAGAUCAUGCCGAAAUCUGUGAUGAUGCAACUCUGUUACGAGCCCCGCGGGGAAGCCGGUGCCGUCAUGCGAGAUAGAAACCAUGGAUAUAUGGCGCCAUCCCACUGGACGAUUGCGUUUAUGGCAUUUGUUGGAGCCGGGUGGAUUUGGUGCGCAAUGUGUUUGAAACGCCCCAGGCGCAGAGGUUAUUAUCGUUUGCUCACGUCGGGCCUUGGAAGCUGGAUCCCUCGGAUGCUCCGGCGUGUGGCGUGGCGCGCUCCGGGCCCCUUCCAGCGGCGGUGGCGGGUGGCACGGGUCGGGUCCGUUAGGCCCUGGCUCGUGCUUGCCACGUUGGCCUGGGUACGAUGCUUACGCCAAGCGGUCGGGCAGACCCGGCUGUACGCAUGGCACCGCUGGUCCACCGCCGGUCGGUAUGUGGGCCACGCGUCGGCGGGGUCUGCCGACCCACCGCGCGCUGGUCCGGGCCUCGCCGUGGCUGGUGCGGGUCCUGGCGAGGGUAGGAUAGAACGGGACGCUGGACCGGGCGGCCGGGGGCGGACACCAGCGGCGGCCGCAGGGGCCGACUGGCGGUGGAUGGGUGGUCACAGCGGGGCCGGAGGCCCGCCGAGCGGGUCCGGGGCCGCCGCUCAACCGGAGGGGUCUUUGAGUUGGGGCGAAGGCCGGCCGCCGCGGCGCCGGGGACGAACGGACAGAACCGUGAAGAGUAUAUGUGCGCGCGGCAGGAGGACAGCGGGCGGAGCGGGCGACGGAGCGAGCCAGAUAGGUACAUGUGCGCCGAGUCAGUUCAGGGAGGGACGGUGCCAGCGGCGGCGGCCGAGCCGGGUCGGAGGUGACCAUUGGGCACUCACCGUGUCACUGUGUGUUAUGUUGCCUUGACCCAUUCUCCGAUUGGUUUAACUUCAAUCCGAAAGUACUUGGCAAUCUUUCUGAAAUAAAGAAGCGACUCCUU